CUUCGAGAGAGAUCAAGAAGAGCAAAGGUAAUCGGAGGAGGGAAUCGAUUUAUACCAAAGUGGAAAUCAAACAAGGAUUUGAUAUUUGUUUGAAUCCAUUAAGAAAGGAGCCAAGAAGGAGACCAAGGGAAGGGAGUAGGGAAGAAAAAGCAAAAAGUAGUCACUCUUUUCCUUUAAUGUGAUUGUGCAUUGAUUGCCACAUGCUUGGGUAUGCUUUUAUGCUGAUUUUGCAUGAGAACAUGUAACUUGCCUUUGCAUGAUAAUAUUUGUCAUGACAAUAUGUGCUGGUUUCCAUUUAUUUUGGAAUGUGGGUGCAAUAGAUAGCGAUUGGCUAUAUGGGUGUAUGGUGUAUGUGCAUCAUUGAUUAUAUUUGGAGUGUUCUCUUUGGCCUGUGUAGCAUGUUGUUUGUGAUCUUGUAUGAUUACGCGAAGGAAAUUUGUUACUACUGAGAUUCUUUAGAAUCUCAUCCCUUCUUCCAUGUAAUACAGCAAGAGCAAAUACUCCUAAAGGCAAGGGAGUAGUGAUCGGUGGAGUUUGAAAGGAAGCUGGCGAUCUUUUGUAUAUAUAUAUUUUGCUUAAAAUGCAUCUUAUUUUGAAGUAAAGAUAUAUUGUAUAUCUAUUUUGGUAUGUAAAUAUUCCUCCAUAAGGAGAUGGCUAAGGGCAGAUAAACCAUGAUAACUGUUAUUGAAGGAAAUGAUCAAUAUUUUGAUAUAUAGUUAUUAUUUUGUCUAAAA